CCGGUUGUUCCGUCAAUCGUAACCUACCGGUGCAUGCUGAGUUGGUAACGACUUGGUGUGAAGCCACCGGAACAACGUAACCCGUUCUUUGAACGGCGCUUCACUCGCGAGAGCGUGGUGCUUUCUGCCAGCGUCAAGGCGGAUGGGGUG
rfam:Burkholderia choica isolate LMG 22940 genome assembly, contig: contig000082